rnacentral:lncRNA from 1 species
GCUGAGCCAGUUUGUUGAUUUUAUUCUUUCCAAAGUGCACCAAAGCUUACUGUUCCGAGUGCUCAGGACGAGGUCUCAAGUUCAACGCUCUCCAUCCAUCACUGCAGCAUGAAACAGUUUCCAGCAAAAGGGAAGCCUAGCCCUUUUGAAUCACUUAGCUGUGUUACCAUCGGAAGAUUUAAACUCUGCACCUCAGGCUCUGAGGAAAAGGGAACUCAGAGGAGAAGUAAAACUUCACGGUGGAUGAUCAAAUGAGACAGGAAAGCAAAACAAACCAACCCCACAUAGAGCAUGCUCUUCAGGAAAGAAUUAGCUUCUCCAACGAGCAAGCUAAGAUCUGCAUUUCAUGCACUAAGAGUGGAGAAUGAAGAACAUCACAUUCUGACAGUUAACAGUAGAUGCCUCCUCGGUGUCAGAGAGCUCGACUUCCUACGGCAGCUGGGGUAGGGCUCAGAAUUAAGAAGUUGACCCGCUGGCUGAAAAAACUUUCCAAGGGAGUGAAGUGUCUCCCUCCAGGUCAAUCACCUCCCCUCCACGUCAAUCAGAGAGCUAUGGCAGGGGAGGAAUCCUACACUAACGUGGGACAUUACCAGCAAUGGAGUUACCUGAUGGGACAGGGUAAUGAGGGAGCCCCCGGGAAACUGCUUCAUUAAAUGCACUAUUUAGCUCCUAGAAGCCUACACACAGGUCAGCGCAAGUCUUUGGUAAUUCAAGGAGAGAUGAUCAGAACUCAUAAUCAUGCAGAAGCCGAAUAAGCUAAGCUGACUGAAGAAGCCCAAGGACCUGCCUAGCAGAUCUGCACAUUGUUCUUAAGACAUCAUAUGGUAGGAAAAAAGAAAACAAGAUGGGAGCGGAAACUCAAAAGGAACAAGGGAAAGAUAAGAAAAGCUUUAACAACAUGCAGGCUCCCUGUCUCCUCCGAGGUCAACAUCC